ACUACGUGCCAGCAGCCGCGGGUAAUACGUAGGUGGCAAGCGUUGUCCGGAAUUACUGGGUGUAAAGGGCGUGUAGCCGGGGAUGCAAGUCAGAUGUGAAAAUCCGUGGCUCAACUGCGGAACUGCAUCUGAAACUGUAUCUCUUGAGUGCUGGAGAGGGAAGUGGAAUUCCUAGUGUAGCGGUGAAAUGCGUAGAGAUUAGGAAGAACACCAGUGGCGAAGGCGGCUUCCUGGACAGUAACUGACGCUGAGGCGCGAAAGCGUGGGGAGCGAACAGGAUUAGAUACCCUGGUAGUCCACGCCGUAAACGAUGGAUACUAGGUGUAGGAGGUAUCGACCCCUUCUGUGCCGGAGUUAACACAAUAAGUAUCCCACCUGGGGAGUACGACCGCAAGGUUGAAACUCAAAGGAAUUGACGGGGGCCCGCACAAGCAGUGGAGUAUGUGGUUUAAUUCGAAGCAACGCGAAGAACCUUACCAGGGCUUGACAUCCUCUGACCGCUCUAGAGAUAGAGCUUUCCUUCGGGACAGAGAGACAGGUGGUGCAUGGUUGUCGUCAGCUCGUGUCGUGAGAUGUUGGGUUAAGUCCCGCAACGAGCGCAACCCCUGUUGUUAGUUGCCAGCAAGUAAAGUUGGGCACUCUAACGAGACUGCCGGUGAUAAAUCGGAGGAAGGUGGGGAUGACGUCAAAUCAUCAUGCCCCUUAUGUCCUGGGCUACACACGUACUACAAUGGCUGUUACAGAGGGGAGCUAAGCCGCGAGGUGGAGCAAAUCCCAAAAGGCAGCCCCAGUUCGGAUUGCAGGCUGCAACCCGCCUGCAUGAAGUCGGAAUUGCUAGUAAUGGCAGGUCAGCAUACUGCCGUGAUACGUUCCCGGGCCUUGUACACACCGCCCGUCACACCAUGAGAGUUUGCAACACCCGAAGUCAGUAGUCUAACCUAUGAGGACGCUGCCGAAGGUGGGGCAGAUGAUUAGGGUGAAGU
rnacentral:rRNA from 1 species